AUUGAACGCUGGCGGCAGGCCUAACACAUGCAAGUCGAACGAGUGGCGGACGGGUGAUUAACACGUGGGAACCUACCCAUCAGAGGGGGAUAACACUUGGAAACAGGUGCUAAUACCGCAUACUGGUGGAUGGACCCGCGGUGCAUUAGCUAGUUGGUGAGGUAACGGCUCACCAAGGCCACGAUGCAUAGCCGACCUGAGAGGAUGAUCAGCCACACUGGGACUGAGACACGGACCAGACUCCUACGGGAGGCAGCAGUGGGGAAUAUUGCACAAUGGGCGCAAGCCUGAUGCAGCCAUGCCGCGUGUAUGAAGAAGGCCUUCGGGUUGUAAAGUACUUUCAGUCGGGAGGCGUUACCGACAGAAGAAGCACCGGCUAACUCCGUGCCAGCCGCCGCGGUAAUAC
rnacentral:rRNA from 1 species